rnacentral:misc_RNA from 1 species
UCUCCGUUGGCGAACCAGCGGAGGGAUCAUUACAGAACUCACAACACUCAUACAACCCUGUACACUCCACUCUAAGCACGUUGCUUCGGCGGGUGUCUCGGAGGGGGUUCUCCCUCCGCGAGCCGCGAAGCCCCCCAGCAGCCUUCUAUACUCUGUCUCUUUGCGUUAGCAACUCGAAUACAAUCAAACAUUUUAAAACUUUCAACAAGGUUUCUCCUGCUUCUCGCAUCGCUGAAGAACGGAACAGAACGGGAGAGCACACGACUCAACUCCAGCCAC